GAUGAACGCUGGCGGCGUGCCUAAUACAUGCAAGUCGAGCGAACAGAUGAGGAGCUUGCUCCUCUGACGUUAGCGGCGGACGGGUGAGUAACACGUGGAUAACCUACCUAUAAGACUGGGAUAACUUCGGGAAACCGGAGCUAAUACCGGAUAAUAUAUUGAACCGCAUGGUUCAAUAGUGGAAGACGGUUUUGCUGUCACUUAUAGAUGGAUCCGCGCCGCAUUAGCUAGUUGGUAAGGUAACGGCUUACCAAGGCAACGAUGCGUAGCCGACCUGAGAGGGUGAUCGGCCACAAUGGAACUGAGACACGGUCCAGACUCCUACGGGAGGCAGCAGUAGGGAAUCUUCCGCAAUGGGCGAAAGCCUGACGGAGCAACGCCGCGUGAGUGAUGAAGGUCUUCGGAUCGUAAAACUCUGUUAUUAGGGAAGAACAAAUGUGUAAGUAACUAUGCACGUCUUGACGGUACCUAAUCAGAAAGCCACGGCUAACUACGUG
rnacentral:rRNA from 1 species